rnacentral:rRNA from 2 species
CGCUGGGGGGGUGCCUAUAAUGCAAGUCGAGCGAACAGAUGAGAAGCUUGCUUCUCUGAUGUUAGCGGCGGACGGGUGAGUAACACGUGGGUAACCUACCUAUAAGACUGGGAUAACUCCGGGAAACCGGGGCUAAUACCGGAUAAUAUUUUGAACCGCAUGGUUCAAUAGUGAAAGACGGUUUCGGCUGUCACUUAUAGAUGGACCCGCGCCGUAUUAGCUAGUUGGUAAGGUAACGGCUUACCAAGGCGACGAUACGUAGCCGACCUGAGAGGGUGAUCGGCCACACUGGAACUGAGACACGGUCCAGACUCCUACGGGAGGCAGCAGUAGGGAAUCUUCCGCAAUGGGCGAAAGCCUGACGGAGCAACGCCGCGUGAGUGAUGAAGGUCUUCGGAUCGUAAAACUCUGUUGUUAGGGAAGAACAAAUUUGUUAGUAACUGAACAAGUCUUGACGGUACCUAACCAGAAAGCCACGGCUAACUACGUGCCAGCAGCCGCGGUAAUACGUAGGUGGCAAGCGUUAUCCGGAAUUAUUGGGCGUAAAGCGCGCGUAGGCGGUUUCUUAAGUCUGAUGUGAAAGCCCACGGCUCAACCGUGGAGGGUCAUUGGAAACUGGGAAACUUGAGUGCAGAAGAGGAGAGUGGAAUUCCAUGUGUAGCGGUGAAAUGCGCAGAGAUAUGGAGGAACACCAGUGGCGAAGGCGGCUCUCUGGUCUGUAACUGACGCUGAUGUGCGAAAGCGUGGGGAUCAAACAGGAUUAGAUACCCUGGUAGUCCACGCCGUAACGAUGAGUGCUA